rnacentral:rRNA from 1 species
CCUACGGGGGGCUGCAGUGGGGAAUAUUGGACAAUGGGGGCAACCCUGAUCCAGCCAUGCCGCGUGUGUGAAGAAGGCCCUCGGGUUGUAAAGCACUUUCAGUGAGGAAGAACGCCUGGUGGUUAAUACCCAUCAGGAAAGACAUCACUCACAGAAGAAGCACCGGCUAACUCCGUGCCAGCAGCCGCGGUAAUACGGAGGGUGCGAGCGUUAAUCGGAAUUACUGGGCGUAAAGCGCGCGUAGGUGGCUUGAUAAGCCGGUUGUGAAAGCCCCGGGCUCAACCUGGGAACGGCAUCCGGAACUGUCAAGCUAGAGUGCAGGAGAGGAAGGUAGAAUUCCCGGUGUAGCGGUGAAAUGCGUAGAGAUCGGGAGGAAUACCAGUGGCGAAGGCGGCCUUCUGGACUGACACUGACACUGAGGUGCGAAAGCCUGGGUAGCGAACAGGAUUAGAUACCCCGGUAGUC